rnacentral:rRNA from 1 species
GAUUAUGGCUCAGGAUGAACGCUGGCGGCGUGCCUAACACAUGCAAGUCGAACGGGGUUAAGGGAAAUUUCGGAUGGAACUUAACUAGUGGCGGACGGGUGAGUAACGCGUGGAUAACCUGCCUCACACUGGGGGAUAGCAGCUGGAAACGGCUGGUAAUACCGCAUAAGACCCCGGCACCGCAUGGUGCCGAGGUAAAAGAUUUAUCGGUGUGAGAUGGAUCCGCGUCUGAUUAGCCAGUUGGCGGGGUAACGGCCCACCAAAGCGACGAUCAGUAGCCGGCCUGGGAGGGUGAACGGCCACAUUGGGACUGAGACACGGCCCAAACUCCUACGGGAGGCAGCAGUGGGGAAUAUUGCACAAUGGGCGCAAGCCUGAUGCAGCAACGCCGCGUGAGUGAAGAAGUAUUUCGGUAUGUAAAGCUCUAUCAGCAGGGAAGAAAGGCCCGAAAGGGAGAUGACGGUACCUGACUAAGAAGCCCCGGCUAACUACGUGCCAGCAGCAGC